rnacentral:lncRNA from 1 species
CGAACGGGAACCUCUCUCCUUCCCUGGGCUGUUUUUUCAGUUUCCUGUCUCUCAUUGUGCUCACAGCGGAUAUGUGCUGCGCCUACAGCAGGAACAAGUACACAUCAAAAGGCACUUCAUCCUGGAAGCUAUUUGCACAGAAGCCCAAGCCCCAAGAAGUCCCUUUCACUAGUGGCGGUCGUGCUGCUCAGGUGAGAAGAGCGAGGGGGACAGCCCAGGACUCAGUUCUGGGGCUUGCCUGGUACCCGCUGGAGCACAGCUGA